CCAAAAGUGCACCGGUGUGUCCAAAGGCAUGGAGGGCUCUCCAAAGGCUCCAGGAAGGAAACAGAAGGAACUUUAUGCAAAUUUAAAAGCAGAGUUAAAAGGAGUGAAAUGUUCCAAAUGGCGCAGCGGCUCUUCUGGAUGUUUCAUUUGUUAUUUUAGGCUUUUAAAUAUUUUUUUAAAUAAAAUGUAUGUAUAUUUGUGUCAGAAGUACUGUAUUAUAAAUAAAUAAAAUAAAAUGACAGCCUUCCUGAGCAGCAGCAAAAGGAUAAAAGCCUUCAGCUAAACGCGCAGCUUCAGUGCGCCAGACCUGACAGGAUCAGGCUGCUCCUCAGGCCGGGCCGGGAGACAAAAACAAACUCAGAUCUGUGACACCCGCUGACAUCAGUCCACGAGCCUUCAGACUGGACUGAACCAGAACCAAACAGCCCUCAGGUGGAGCUCCAGAACCGACGGUUAAAACCGUUUCCUCAAAAUAAACUGAUGCAAAUGAUGCAGGAAGAGGAGCUGCAGCUUCCUGACGCUCAGCUCCAUUAUUCCUCCCUGCGGGUCCAGACCUGAGCCUGCAGCGGGUCCGGACCCGAGCCUGCAGCUGGUCCAGACCCGAGCCUGCAGCUGGUCCAGACCUGAGCCUGCAGCGGGUCACAGAGCCCUCAGCCCCCACUCUCUGGAACAGAAGCUCGGGGUGCAGCAGGAACAGAAGCGCCGCUGUUCUGUGACAUGUGGAAGAAAAGGAGCUCAGUUGUUGAUGACAAAGACUCUCUUCUCUCUGCAGCAGCCCUGAGAGGCUCAUUUCUUAUUGAUGGUGCAAACAGGCGCACGUGCAGCCUUUAUUUAGCGGCAGCUGAGCCUCGCGCGCCUGUUCUGAUGGUGCGCGCCCGCAGCAGCAGCUCGUGUUUCAGCAGCAGCUGCUGGUCAGAGCAGGACUGAAACACCCACAUCUUUAUUACACUCUGUAAGCAGAAAUAUUUAUUUUAUUUUACAUUUUGACUUUAUGCAAUAAAGGUUUAUAUUUAUUCAUCUAAAUGUUGUGAAUUAUAUUUAAAUAAAAUAUUUAUCAAAAAUCA